rnacentral:tRNA from 1 species
AGAGGUAUAGCCAAGUGGUAAGGCAACGAACUUUGACUUCGUCAUACAGAGGUUCGAAUCCUCUUACCUAAA